rnacentral:rRNA from 1 species
GACGAUAAGACCCUAAAAGUUUUAUUAGGUUAGGAGUGUUUAGAGUACUAAAAUUAAAUUAGCUGGGGUAGUUGUUUUAUAUAUAUUAAUAUUUAAUUAAGCUAAUGGUUUAAGGUCCUUAAAAUUAAGAUAAUUAGAAAAAAUUACUUUAGGGAUAACAGCGUAAUAAUUUUGGAAAGUUCUUAUUUAUGAAGUUGAUUGCGACCUCGAUGUUGAAUUAAAGAAGACUACAGGGCAGUAUAGGUAGGUCUAGGUUUGUUCAGCCUUUAUAUAUUUACAUGAUCUGAGU